GAUUCUGGGUUACUUACCAGGCCAGGGCAAACCAAUUAAUGUGACUUGUGGAGUUAAGAGAGGACCUCCAGAAGCCUUGGGAGAAGUCCAAUUUUUUCCUAAAAGCAUUUUUGACCUGAAGUACUAUCCAUACUAUGGGAAGCUCAGACAUGUAAACUACUCUUCACCGGUGGUGGCUGUGCGUUUUGCAGGAGUGCAGUACGACACUCACGUCCAAAUACAAUGCAAACUGAACGGAAAGGGCAUCGUCAAUGAUUCACCCACUGAUCGCUACCUGGGCAGUGUGACCUUCACCUUGGAUGUCGGAGCGUAAGGCCAACAUCUCGCUGCCAGCAGGAUGCUCCCAUGACAAUGAGGCAAGAAAAUGUACAAGAAAAAACAUAUGUUGAAGCAUUAUUUUCCAUGAAAUAUGUAAUUUCCCUCACCUUUCACUUAAAUAUCCACAUCUUCUGCUGUGAAAUUCCUUAAGAAGUAGAUAUUUACUCUCGUGUUUCUGUUGUGUCUUUGUACCUUGAGCGUGCUACUGGCACCUGCACCCACAACAAACAGUGCUGAGCACAGGACGAGUGCGUAGAGUGAGUUACAAUUCCUGAUAUUUUGUAAUGAAAUAAAUAAUUAGCGAGAUUAAUCAAACUAAAUUACACUCUGCCCAAUAGUUAGCAUUUCUGGCUAUGCAAAUCCAAUUAUGACUUAAAACAUUACUAGGCGAUUAGAAAAUAUUGUUGUAUCGGGUUAGAUUUUGGUUUUGUGUGCACAGUUUUUGUGUGACAGAGUGUACUAAUUUUGUUUUGAAUUAUAUUUUUCAAACAUGUAUAUUGUAAGAAUUCAAAGAACUAUCAUGCAAACACUGAAAGCAGGACUUGUACUGUACUUACACAGUAAAAAAAGAUAUAAUAAAUGACUGCAAAUACACUAUUACUAUAUUUUUGUUGAAUAGAGCAGUAUUAUACAUUUAUGAUAAAGCAUCACAAGCCACUUCUUGCCUUCUUUUGUAAAAACAUUUGCUUUUGAAAAUGAAAUACUACACAAGACUGAUCAAUAAAGAGACAUGCUGUACUGUGAAAUAGUUUGUGAAAGGUCUGUACCAUUUUAAAAAGUAUAACUAUUUUGUGAUAGAAUU